UACAGAGGGUGCGAGCGUUAAUCGGAAUUACUGGGCGUAAAGCGCGCGUAGGCGGCUUUGCAAGUCGGGUGUGAAAUCCCCAGGCUUAACCUGGGAACUGCAUUCGAGACUGCAUUGCUAGAGUAUGGGAGAGGGAAGUGGAAUUUCCGGUGUAGCGGUGAAAUGCGUAGAUAUCGGAAGGAACAUCAGUGGCGAAGGCGCUCUGCUAGGCCGUAACUGACACUGAGGGACGAAAGCUAGGGGAGCGAAUGGG
rnacentral:rRNA from 1 species